UACAGAGGUGGCAAGCGUUGUUCGGAAUUACUGGGCGUAAAGGGCGCGUAGGCGGCUUUUUAAGUCAGACGUGAAAUCCCCCGGCUUAACCUGGGAACUGCGUCUGAUACUGGGAAGCUUGAGUUCGGGAGAGGGAUGUAGAAUUCCAGGUGUAGCGGUGAAAUGCGUAGAUAUCUGGAGGAACACCGGUGGCGAAGGCGGCAUCCUGGACCGGCAUUGACGCUGAGGCGCGAAAGCUAGGGGAGCAAACGGG
rnacentral:rRNA from 1 species